rnacentral:rRNA from 1 species
UGGGGAAUAUUGGACAAUGGGCGAAAUCCUGAUCCAGCCAUGCCGCGUGUGUGAAGAAGGUCUUCGGAUUGUAAAGCACUUUAAGUUGGGAGGAAGGGCAUUAACCUAAUACGUUAGUGUUUUGACGUUACCGACAGAAUAAGCACCGGCUAACUCUGUGCCAGCAGCCGCGGUAAUACAGAGGGUGCAAGCGUUAAUCGGAAUUACUGGGCGUAAAGCGCGCGUAGGUGGUUUGUUAAGUUGGAUGUGAAAGCCCCGGGCUCAACCUGGGAACUGCAUCCAAAACUGGCAAGCUAGAGUACGGUAGAGGGUGGUGGAAUUUCCUGUGUAGCGGUGAAAUGCGUAGAUAUAGGAAGGAACACCAGUGGCGAAGGCGACCACCUGGACUGAUACUGACACUGAGGUGCGAAAGCGUGGGGAGCAAACA